CUACCGGUCGCUUCAGUAUGGCCUCCAAAGUAGCCGUGUUCGGAAGAUCGGGAGAUUCCUGUAUCGCCGAGCAGAACGGCAGCCCUGCGGAAGAGAUGGAAUGAACCUGCUGCAGUCGCUGUCAGAUGUGACAGACGUCAGAACCGUGAGUAUGUGUGAAAAUAAGAAGAACAUCUAGAACACGAUUAUCGAAGAAACACGUUCUAAACUAAAAUCCUAAAAUUAAUUUAAAUUUUCUGAUUAUUCUACCUAAAAAUUCGUAGUUUGUUAAACCUAAAGUGCAGUAUUCACAGUGAGAGAACUGCCAAGAUUACCCGUAUGUAAUGCUUAUAAAAAAUACCUUGAAUUACUAUAUUAUUAUAUUUGUUUCUACCUAGAUGCUAAAUUUGAUAACCUACGUCGACAUACUACUGAAUUUGAUAACCUAUUGUUGACCAUAAAGGUUUAAUACUAAGUAAGUAAUAUAUUGUGAGAUCUAUUUGCCCUACAAUUUGCUAAUUGAAACCUAAAUGUAGCGGUGACUCAAGCACCUACCGAUAACCGCAGAAGAUUACUCCCGGUAGAACCUCCUACUAGCUUGCACGCGAGGGUGAAGAAAAACCUAUUGUAAGUUGCAGUAAAAAUGUAUGAACUUAUGAUCUACUCAAAAACUAAUAAUAAAACUAUUUCAGCUUUAAGCUGUCUAAACCGGACCGCUAAAAGGAGGUUGCAGUUCUAAAAAUCCGAACAUUCUUAAAGAAUAGCAAUCGGAAUAACCUCGAAAUGGCUGAGGGGUUUGCCCAAUCGGUGAGUAAUGAUCACAGUAGUAACCACAAUUGCAUGCUUUGCGAGGACCAUGAUAGUGCGGAUGAUAUGGUCCAAUGUGACGUCUGCGACUUCUGGGCACACUACAGUUGCGCUGGUGUCUCAGAAGCUGUGAAGUCGGUUCCGUGGACGUGCGCGAAGUGCAAAAAUAUACUGCAAGUACCGAAAGAAGCCAAAAAGCCUGCCUCGAAGAAGACUUCAUCCAGAAAGAGUAGCACCAAAAGCGAUGCUGGAUCCGACAAGGAAAGUGUCAAAAGUGUGACCCUGGAGGAAUCACUUCAACAGGUUCAGCUGGAUAAAAGGGCAAAGGAGAGAGCCCUUGAAGAGGAAAGGAUCAUCCAUGAGAAGCGAUUGGAGGCCGAAAGGGAGAUAAUGGAGAAGAAACGUUUGCAACAGAAGGAGAUGCUCGAAAAGCAACUAGCACAGGAAAGAGAAAUCCUACAGAACCGACUCAAGGACGAACGGGAAUUCCAUCAACGGCGUCAGCAGCUCCACGAUGAAUUCCAGAAGCUCAAGUCGGAUCUAUCACAGCACUAUCGAGAGCAACAAGACUCCGACGAAGAAGAAGAUGAAGACGAUGAGGCUGGCAUGCAAAAGCCGCGUGUUUGUGAUGAUUUUGGAAGAAAGGAUCCCCGUGGAGCCUUCCCGAAAUUCCAGGGACAGCCGUCCGCCCGGAACCAGCAGAUCGAAGCUGAAUUACGGAAUGUAAAUCCAGAACUUUCGAAACCUACGAAGCUAAACGAGCCGGGGUGCGUUCGGGAUCCAUGGGGCAGCAAUACACGUUUUCAGCAGAAUCCGCUAGCUGCUUCCGGCGAGAGAGAAGUAAGAAUUGAGGACUUACUGCAUCGUAUGGAUCUGACGGAAGAGGAAGAAGGUGCAAUCAGAAACGUACUCGCAAGACGAGGGCAAAUCCGCCAAGACUCGCGAAUGGACAUGGGCCGAGGACCAACUCAGGAACAGCUAGCAGCUAGGCAGGCCGUGUCCAAGCACCUUCCGGUCUUUCGAGGAGAACCAGAGGUUUGGCCGCUCUUUAUAAGUUCCUUCGAGUACACCACGGCAGCAUGUGGUUUCACGAAUACAGACAACCUUAAAAGGCUCCAAGAUAGCCUGCAAGGCUUGGCAAAAGAAGCUGUACAAAGCCGGCUCUUGAUGCCAGACUCGGUACCCGAGGUCAUCGAGGAUUUACGCAAGCUUUUCGGAAACCCGGAAAAGCUCUUAAAAAGUCUAGUGGCAAAGGUUCGUAGAGCACAGGCCCCGCGUAUGGAUAAGCUGGAGACAUUCCUGUACUUUGGGAUCACGGUAAAGCAGCUAUGUGAUCACCUCGAGGCUGCGGGAAUGCGUGAGCACCUUAACAAUCCCAUGCUCGUGCAAGAGCUCGUGAGCAAAUUGCCACCCGAGUAUAAACUUGACUGGGUGCGAUUCAAACGCGGCAAAAGGGAAACUCCACUGAGAAAUUUUACAAACUUCAUCAGCGAAAUAGUAUCGGAAGUCUCGGAGGUAGCGGACUUCACAGGAGUGGAACAAGGAGUGACACUGCUCCCCGGGAAACCUAAACCGAGGAAAAAGGAGUUUAUGAACACCCACAACACUCAAAGUCACCGUUCGGGAGGGUCCCAAGCGGAAAUACCAUCGAAAGUGAAGAAGCCGUGCGUUGUCUGCAAACGUAGUGAUCAUAAACUUCGAUUCUGUGACGACUUUGGCAAACUGAACAUCCGCGAACGUUUGGAAAUCGUUGAAAAAUGGAAACUUUGCCAAUUGUGCCUUAACGACCAUGGCAAAGCACCGUGUACGUUUAGAGCGCGCUGCAAUGUACCAAAUUGCUCUAAAGGACAUCAUACCCUGUUGCACCGGGUAGAAGGAAGUAUUCAGCUGUCCAUGGUCAAGAACAAUGCACACUUUCAGACGCUACGAACCGUGAUAUUCCGCAUCGUUCCGGUUACCCUCUAUUUCGGCGAGACAGCCGUAGAAACAUCAGCCUUUCUCGACGAAGGCGCAUCUUCUACACUAGUGGAACACUCAAUCGCUGAUCUACUUGGUGUCUGUGGAGUUCCAGAACCAUUGGUGGUAUACUGGACGGCGAAUAUGAAGCGGCUUGAAGAGGCGUCACGGAAAUUCGAUCUACAGAUCUCUGCCAGAGGAGCGACUGAGCGAUACCAGCUGAAAGAAGCACGUACAGUUGAUGAACUAGUCUUGCCGACACAAGACAUUAACUUAAAGGAAAUUGUCAACAAAUAUGAUCAUCUCAAGGGUCUUUCGAUUCUCGAUAGUGUUUCAGAAAUUCCCAGAAUCCUGAUUGGUCUCGACAAUCUUCAUUUGUUCGCCCCGCUCGAGUCUAAAGUGGGAAAGUUCGGAGAACCUAUAGCUGUGCGCUCUCUCCUGGGAUGGUCCGUGUAUGGUCCAGAACAACAGAGAACAUCAUCGAAGGCGUACGUACACUUUCACUCCAUGCACCCGGUUAGCAACCAACAGCUGCACGAUUUGCUAAGAACGCAGUACACAAUAGAAGAAGGUUGUACGCAAACCGAAAUACUUCCUGAAACGGAGGCCAUCUUGCGCGCUAGAAAUAUCCUCGAACAGACGACUAGGCGCGUAGGAAACCGCUUCGAAACAGGGCUGCUCUGGAAUAACGACGAAAUCACCUUACCGGACAGCUACCCGAUGGCCCUGAAGCGGAUGGCAGCACUCGAACGUAGACUUUCGAAGGACCCGAAACUACAGACGGCCAUCCAUGAGCAGAUCGAAGCAUAUCUACGAAAGGGAUAUGCCCACAAGGCAACGGAUGAAGAGUUGCGCAAUUCCGACCUUUUGAGAGUGUGGUACCUUCCGCUGAGCGUGGCUUUGAAUCCCAGGAAACCGAACAAGGUGCGCUUGGUAUGGGAUGCGGCGGCAUCCGUACAAGGGAUCUCGCUAAACUCGUGCCUUCUUAAGGGUCCCGACCUCCUAACGUCGCUACAAGGAGUUUUUUGCAAGUUUCGGGAACGACCAGUAGCAAUUGGUGGCGAUAUACGCGAAAUGUACCACCAAUUGCUCAUAAGGGCAGCUGACAAACAAACGCAACGGUUCUUAUUUCGCUUCAACUCAGCAGGCCCUCCGGAGACUUAUGUGAUGGAUGUGGCCACCUUUGGAGCCACAUGUUCACCUUGCUCAGCGCAAUUCGUCAAAAACCGCAAUGCUAUGGAGUACGCUGAACAGUUCCCUGACACGGCUGAAGCUAUCAUCAAUCGAACAUACGUAGACGACUACUUCGACAGUUUGGAUACCGAGGAGGAGGCACUACGUAGAGCCAAGGAGGUGCGCUUUGUCAACGGUGAAGCAGGGUUCGAAGUAAGAAACUGGUCUUCAAAUUCGCAGUGGGUGCUGCAAGGUCUAGGGGAAGAAUCAUCUUCCGAAUCGGUGCACUUUCACCUAGAUAAAAACACCGAAAACGAACGAGUGUUGGGCGUUAUCUGGAAUCCCCAUCAAGAUGUCCUAUCGUUCGCUACCAUGUCAAAAGCAGAAAGUUCCCUGCAUUCGUCCUGGAAACCAACUAAAAGAGAAGUUCUUAGUAUGGUGAUGACACUGUUCGACCCGCUGGGUUUAUUGGCUCCGUUCACUACACUCGGUAAAAUGCUGGUACAGGACCUCUGGCGUUCUGGUUGCGACUGGGACACCGAAAUCAACGACGAGUCGAACAAAAAAUGGACAUCGUGGAUUAACGCGUUACCCGAAAUUUACGAGCUAAAGAUCCCGCGCAGUUACUUUGGGAACGUGCAAUCUCAGUACUAUGGACCAGUGGAACUGCAUGUGUUUACCGACGCUGGAGAAAACGCCUUCGGAUGCGCUGGAUAUUUGCGGAUUGUAGUCGACGGAGAAGUUAAAUGCUCGCUCGUGAUGGCUCGCUCUAAAGUGGCGCCUCUUAAGCAACUCACUAUUCCUCGCCUUGAACUUCAAGCGGCAGUACUGGGAGCGCGAAUGGCACAUACUAUCAAGAUGAAUCACUCGCUGAAUAUACAACAAACCUUCUACUGGACGGAUUCCCGAACUGUCCUAUCUUGGAUUUCAUCGGAUCAGAAGCGCUACAAGCAGUACGUUAGUUUCAGGAUCGGAGAGAUAUUAAGCCUGACGAAGUUGUCGGAAUGGAGAUGGAUACCUUCAAAGUUGAAUGUUGCAGACCGCCUGACGAAAUGGAGAAGUGACUCCGGAUUGUGUGCUGAGUGGUUCAAUGGACCACGAUCCCUCUACGAGAACAUGAACAUCGAACUACAACAACUCCCUCCGGCUAAUACCAAGUGCGAACUACGAGCUGUGCAUUUGUUUCACGGUGCAACACCUUUAGAGAAGCUAAUCGACGAGAGCCGAUUUUCCAAGUGGAACGUCCUGGUAAGAUCAGUAGCGUGCGUCUUUCGUUUCAUUUCUAAUUGCCAACGAAAGGCCCGUGGUGAGCCCAUCGAAAUUCUAAAGAGAAUGCCGAAUCAUUUGAAGGAAACAGCAAUUCCAUCGGUCAUGACGCCUUUGAAACAAGAAGAAUACCGACGUGCCGAAAACAUUCUCUUCAGGACAGCUCAGUGCGACGCCUUUGGAGACGAAAUCAAGAUUCUGAAGAAAAAUCAGGAGUUGGAACCAUCACGAUGGUUUGCCAUUGAGAAGACCAGCCCGCUCUAUAAGCUGACUCCACUCUUGGAUGACGAACAGGUGUUGCGAAUGGAAGGACGUUGCGAUAGGGCCGAACUUCUACCGUUCGAUAUGCGUUUCCCAAUAAUCCUACCAAAAAACUGUAGUGUGACCCAACUUAUAGUACGACAUUACCAUGAAGCGUACGGACAUGCAUUCAGAGAAACGGUGAAGAACGAGAUAAAGCAACGGUUCUUCGUCUUCAGCCUGAGUUCGGUAAUAGCGAAGGUUGAACAAAACUGUAUCUGGUGCAAGGUGCAUAAGAACCGUCCCAAGUGUCCUAGAAUGGCUUCGCUUCCAGUUCAACGGUUGACACCCUAUCAGCGACCGUUUACGUUUGUCGGUAUCGACUACCUUGGGCCAGUGCAAGUGUCCGUUGGACGGCGAAUAGAAAAAAGGUGGAUCGUCUUAUUCACCUGUCUGGUCGUACGAGCCGUCCACCUGGAGGUGGCCCAUAAUCUUACCGCUCAAUCAUGCGCUAUGGCGAUCCGACGAUUCAACACACGAUGGGGACCAGCCGCUGAAUAUUUUUCAGACAACGGCACCAACCUCAAAGCUGCAAGCAAGGAGUUUACUCAGCAAGUACAGGAGAUAGGAUACGAAUGCGCCGAUCAAUUUUCUAGUGCUCGGUCCAAGUGGCAUUUUAACCCACCAGCUACGCCCCAUAUGGGGGGAAUAUGGGAGCGUAUGGUAAGAACUGUGAAAAGUGUCAUGGAAGUGCUUAACGACGGACGCAAAUUAACGGACGAGAUCCUCCUAACAAGCAUAGCGGAAACUGCGGACAUGAUCAACAGUCGUCCAUUAGUCUACGCCUCAUCAGGAUCGCUCCAGGAGUCAAUCACCCCAAACCACUUUAUUCGAGGAAUAGCUGCUAACGAACCACAGGAAGUCCUGCCACCUACGAAUCCUGCGCUAGCACUUCGUGAUGCUUACCAGCGUUCAGUGGAGCUUGCAAACAAUUCGUGGGAACGCUGGAUAAAGGAAUACGUUCCUAACAUCAAUCGUCGCACCAAAUGGUUCGACGAAUCAACGCCUUUGAAGAAGGGAGACCUAGUUUACGUCGUAGAUGGAAACCGGCGUAAGGCAUGGAUCAGGGGAAUUGUUGAACAACCAAUCGUAUCGAGUGAUGGAAGAAUUCGCCAAGCCCUUGUGAGGACCAACAACGGGGUGCUCAGGCGGGCUGCCGCUAACUUAGCGGUUCUUGAGAUUACUGAAGGUAACGCUGCUCCGGAUGACGAUUCCGGAACAGGAUUACGAGCCGGGGAUGUGUUCGGAAGAUCGGGAGAUUCCUGUAUCGCCGAGCAGAACGGCAGCCCUGCGGAAGAGAUGGAAUGAACCUGCUGCAGUCGCUGUCAGAUGUGACAGACGUCAGAACCGUGAGUAUGUGUGAAAAUAAGAAGAACAUCUAGAACACGAUUAUCGAAGAAACACGUUCUAAACUAAAAUCCUAAAAUUAAUUUAAAUUUUCUGAUUAUUCUACCUAAAAAUUCGUAGUUUGUUAAACCUAAAGUGCAGUAUUCACAGUGAGAGAACUGCCAAGAUUACCCGUAUGUAAUGCUUAUAAAAAAUACCUUGAAUUACUAUAUUAUUAUAUUUGUUUCUACCUAGAUGCUAAAUUUGAUAACCUACGUCGACAUACUACUGAAUUUGAUAACCUAUUGUUGACCAUAAAGGUUUAAUACUAAGUAAGUAAUAUAUUGUGAGAUCUAUUUGCCCUACAAUUUGCUAAUUGAAACCUAAAUGUAGCGGUGACUCAAGCACCUACCGAUAACCGCAGAAGAUUACUCCCGGUAGAACCUCCUACUAGCUUGCACGCGAGGGUGAAGAAAAACCUAUUCUUUAAGCUGUCUAAACCGGACCGCUAAAAGGAGGUUGCAGUUCUAAAAAUCCGAACAAGCCGUUUUAUAAAAAGAGUAACAUAAAAAUGUUUUUUAACAUUUUUAUUGUAUGCGCUAUUCCUCGUUACCACUAGCUAUUCAGCGACAUACAUUUUUUGACAAUCAAGUUGAUUUUUAUAUGAAAACGGCUACUUUGUAACGGCUACUCAAGAGUAACCGGUAGAAUACAAGUAGCCGGUAAAUCCUUGGGUAAAUCCACAAUAUCAAAGUGUUGUUUUGUAUUUUUUUGUUUUUUGAUGAAAAAGAAAACAUGGAGAAGUAAUGCCAGUUUU